rnacentral:pre_miRNA from 1 species
AAUAGAUGAUGCCGUUGACUUUUUCUCACAUGUUUGACCAUUCAUCUUAUUCAAAAAAUUUACGUAAUUAUAAUUUAUUUUAUUAUGAGUUGUUUUUUCACUCAUAGUACUUUAAGUGUGAUUUAUAUCUUAUACAUCUGCAUAAAACUUUUGAAUAAGACGAAUGGUCAAACAUGUGAGAAAAAGUCAACGGCGUCAUCUAUU